GAUCCUGGCUCAGGACGAACGCUGGCGGCGCGCCUAACACAUGCAAGUCGAACGGAACUGAGAGGAGCUUGCUUUUCUUAGCUUAGUGGCGAACGGGUGAGUAACGCGUGAGUAACCUGCCCUGGAGUGGGGGACAACAGUUGGAAACGACUGCUAAUACCGCAUAAGCCCACGGUACCGCAUGGUACUGAGGGAAAAGGAUUUAUUCGCUUCAGGAUGGACUCGCGUCCAAUUAGCUAGUUGGUGAGG
rnacentral:rRNA from 1 species